UCCCAGGUGGUCCAGUGGCUAAGACUCCAUACUCCCAAUGCAGGGGACCCAGGUUCAAAUCCUGGUCAGGGAA
rnacentral:tRNA from 1 species